GGGGGAGCUUGCUCCCCGCUGACGAGCGGCGGACGGGUGAGUAAUGCAUAGGAAACUGCCCAGUAGUGGGGGAUAGCCCGGGGAAACCCGGAUUAAUACCGCAUACGCCCUUUGGGGGAAAGCAGGGGAUCUUCGGACCUUGCGCUAUUGGAUGUGCCUAUGUCGGAUUAGCUAGUUGGUGGGGUAAGAGCCUACCAAGGCGACGAUCCGUAGCUGGUCUGAGAGGAUGAUCAGCCACAUCGGGACUGAGACACGGCCCGAACUCCUACGGGAGGCAGCAGUGGGGAAUAUUGGACAAUGGGGGCAACCCUGAUCCAGCCAUGCCGCGUGUGUGAAGAAGGCUUUCGGGUUGUAAAGCACUUUCAGUGAGGAGGAAAACCUUACGAUUAAUACUCGUGAGGCUUGACGUUACUCACAGAAGAAGCACCGGCUAACUCCGUGCCAGCAGCCGCGGUAAUACGGAGGGUGCAAGCGUUAAUCGGAAUUACUGGGCGUAAAGCGCGCGUAGGUGGUUUGAUAAGCGAGAUGUGAAAGCCCCG
rnacentral:rRNA from 1 species